UCGUUAGGUGGUCAGCAUGAUUACUUGACAGUUUCUCCUCUAUUUCUCCUUUGUAGACUUGGGCGCACAUUGCAAAAUGUGCGCAUUUUU
rnacentral:ncRNA from 1 species